rnacentral:lncRNA from 1 species
GGCAUCGCCAACGAGGAUGCCGCCCACGGCAUCGCCAACGAGUACGCCGCCCACGGCAUCGCCAGCGAGGACGCCGCCCACGGCAUCGCCAGCGAGGACGCCGCCCAGGGCAUCGCCAGCGAGGACGCCGCCCAGGGCAUCGCCAACGAGGACACCAUCCAGGGCAUCGCCAAGGAGUACGCCGUCCACGGCAUCGCCAACGAGGACGCCGCCCAGGGCAUCGCCAACGAGGACGCCGCCCAGGGCAUCGCCAACGAGGACGCCGCCCAGGGCAUCGCCAAGGAGGACGCCGCCCAGGGCAUCGCCAACGAGGGCGCCGCCCAGGGCAUCGCCAAAGAGGACGCCGCCCAGGGCAUCGCUAACGAGGCCGCCGACAAGGGCAUCGCCAACGAGGAUGCCGCCCACGGCAUCGCCAACGAGGACGCCGCCCACGGCAUCGCCAACGAGGACGCCAUCCAGGGCAUCGCCAAGGAGUACGCCGUCCACGGCAUCGCCAACGAGGACGCCGCCCAGGGCAUCGCCAACGAGGACGCCGCCCAGGGCAUCGCCAACGAGGACGCCGCCCAGGGCAUCGCCAAGGAGGACGCCGCCCAGGGCAUCGCCAAGGAGGACGCCGCCCAGGGCAUCGCCAACGAGGGCGCCGCCCAGGGCAUCGCCAAAGAGGACGCCGCCCACGGCAUCGCCAACGAGGACGCCGCCCAGGGCAUCGCCAACGAGGACGCCGCCCACGGAAUCGCCAGUGAGGACGCCGCCCACGGCAUCGCCAGCGAGGACGCCGUCCAGGGCAUCGACAAGGAGGAUGCCGCCCAGGGCAUCGCCAACGAGGACGCCGCCCAGGGCAUCGCCAACGAGGACGCCGCCCAGGGCAUCGCCAAAGAGGACGCCGCCCACGGCAUCGCCAACGAGAAAAUCAAAUGUAAACCAGCAGUGACCUGCUUCAACACCAUCAUCGGAAGUCAGAAGUUGAACUCUUUUUUGAUGUUUAAAGCCUGCAUAAUAUUCGCUGUAUUAUUAUUCAGCAUAUUACUAUUUCCUUCGUGAUGGAAAUUUGGUUUAUCCCAAUUUUCUAUUCCAUCAAAACACCGCUACAUAGAAAAUCCCCAUGCACAUAUUUCUCCUAAUUGUGGAAAUAUUUUACAUAAAAGACUCUAGACAUGGGAUGAAAUUCCCAGGUUAUUGGAAUUUUAAAAUAGAUAGGUACUCCCAAAUUGACCUCUUACAAAUUAUAUGAAUUCGUAAGCUUCCAACUGUUAUGGAGUUACCCAUUUUGAGAAAUCUGUGCUAAAAGGACCCAAACAAUGCUGAUGACAAUGAUCAGGAUAAUAAGUACGCUGGGAAGACAACAAAAUGAUUUAGAUCUUAGACAAGUCAUUCUAGGUGUCUCCACUGUUUCAGUUCUUGCGUUCGUUCAUUCUUGUGCUUUUUCGUUUUACCAAAUAAAAUAGCUCCUUGAUGUCAUAGGAAUCCACGCUAUGCUUAAUGAGUAUUGGUUAGUAAAAUGCCUAUAACUAGUAAUCUUCAUCUAUGCAAUUAAAUAUUAAUUCAUAAAACACUUCAAAUGUAAACAAUAAUUAGUAAAUGAAAAGUACAUAAUACCUCAAUUAGAAAAAAAUCACUCCAUUAAAAAGACAUUAUUUGUGUG